rnacentral:rRNA from 1 species
GACGAACGCUGGCGGCGUGCCUAAUACAUGCAAGUAGAACGCUGAAGAGAGGAGCUUGCUCUUCUUGGAUGAGUUGCGAACGGGUGAGUAACGCGUAGGUAACCUGCCUUGUAGCGGGGGAUAACUAUUGGAAACGAUAGCUAAUACCGCAUAACAAUGGAUGACACAUGUCAUUUAUUUGAAAGGGGCAAUUGCUCCACUACAAGAUGGACCUGCGUUGUAUUAGCUAGUAGGUGAGGUAAUGGCUCACCUAGGCGACGAUACAUAGCCGACCUGAGAGGGUGAUCGGCCACACUGGGACUGAGACACGGCCCAGACUCCUACGGGAGGCAGCAGUAGGGAAUCUUCGGCAAUGGGGGCAACACUGACCGAGCAACGCCGCGUGAGUGAAGAAGGUUUUCGGAUCGUAAAGCUCUGUUGUAAGUCAAGAACGGGUGUGAGAGUGGAAAGUUCACACUGUGACGGUAGCUUACCAGAAAGGGACGGCUAACUACGUG